UACGUAGGGGGCAAGCGUUGUCCGGAAUCAUUGGGCGUAAAGAGCGUGUAGGCGGCCAGAAAAGUCCGCUGUGAAAACUCGAGGCUCAACUUCGAGCUGUCGGUGGAAACUUUCUGGCUAGAGUCCGGAAGAGGAGAAUGGAAUUCCUGGUGUAGCGGUGAAAUGCGCAGAUAUCAGGAAGAACACCCGUGGCGAAGGCGGUUCUCUGGGACGGUACUGACGCUGAGACGCGAAAAGCGUGGGGGAGCAACAGG
rnacentral:rRNA from 1 species